rnacentral:rRNA from 1 species
CCCGUAAGUUAGCCGGUGCUUCUUCUUACGGUACCGUCAUCCACCGCCUAUGUUAGAGGCGGCAGAUUUCUUUCCGUCCGAAAGAGCUUUACAACCCGAAGGCCUUCUUCACUCACGCAGGCAUGGCUGGAUCAUGGGUUGCCCCCAUUGUCCAAAAUUCCCCACUGCUGCCUCCCAGUAGGA